UCUUUGGAAGAAACUCUGAAGUAAAGGUGACAAGAUUCUUUAUUUAAAACAUUAAAAACAAAACGAAACAAAAUAUCAAGCAAGAAGUUUUCUGGCAACAAACUAAGCGCGGCAUUAUUUUUUAAGGAACACAAAUUAAAUGUUCAACGUGUGACAAAUUUGCACUUUCUCCCUGAAUUAUGUCAUUAUCAAAGAAAAAGAUUGGAAGGGGCUGAUAAAAUAUCAUCAAAACUGAAACUAG
rnacentral:lncRNA from 1 species